UGGGGAAUUUUCUGCAAUGGGCGAAAGCCUGACAGAGCGAUACCGCGUGAGGGAUGACGGCCUGUGGGUUGUAAACCUCUUUUUUCAAGGAGGAAGUUCUGACGUGUACUUGAAGAAUAAGCAUCGGCUAACUCCGUGCCAGCAGCCGCGGUAAGACGGAGGAUGCAAGUGUUAUCCGGAAUCACUGGGCGUAAAGCGUCUGUAGGUGGUUUAUUAAGUCUAUUGUUAAAUCUUGAGGCUUAACCUCAAAUCAGCAAUGGAUACUGAUAGACUAGAGUGUGAUAGAGGUAAGAGGAAUUUCCAGUGGAGCGGUGAAAUGCGUAGAGAUUGGAAAGAACACCGAUGGCGAAAGCAUCUUACUGGGUCAAAACUGACACUGAGAGACGAAAGCUAGGGUAGCAAAUGGG
rnacentral:rRNA from 1 species